AUGAAGGUUUUUGUUUUGCUAGGUAUUUUAACUGUUUCCUUUAGACUGUGUACGGGCGCUUGUUUUAUGAUACGACAAAAAGGGUGUUACCAUGAUAAGAUAGGCUACCUAAUUCCUCCGAGAGGAAGUAUAACAGUGUGGACUCCUGAUUGUGUAGAUUGUACCUGUGAUUCUGCUGGAAUCAGUUGUUGUUCGACUGCAGGUACACCGACAGAUUUCCCAGAUGACUGUGAGAUAAUAAUGGAUGGAUGCUAUGCUAACGUGGUGAAGAAAAAUGAUCAUACCAUAAAGUGUCCAAUCUUUGCUAUGGUUGGAUAAUAAUAGUUGCCUAUCUAUCACUACUGCGGUUUGACUGUGUGCUUGCCAACAGUUUUCUACGUUAUCUGUUGAAAAAAAUUCAACAUGAAAAUUAAUGAAAAUAUUCGAAAGAAAAACGUUCACAAUGAUGACAUGUAUGUAACACUCGGACUGUUUUUUUUUAUUUAAUUGCCUUAUCUUUAUUAAAGAUAUUUGAAU